UGAGGAAUAUUGGUUAAUGGUCGCAAGACUGAACCAGCCAUGCCGCGUGCAGGAAGACGGUCCUAUGGAUUGUAAACUGCUUUUAUACAGGAAGAAACCCUCCCACGUGUGGGAGCUUGACGGUACUGCAGGAAUAAGGAUCGGCUAACUCCGUGCCAGCAGCCGCGGUAAUACGGAGGAUCCAAGCGUUAUCCGGAAUCAUUGGGUUUAAAAGGGUCCGUAGGCGGUCUUAUAAGUCAGUGGUGAAAAGCCCAUCGCUCAACGAUGGAACUGCCAUUGAUACUGUAAGACUUGAAUGCUUAGGAAGUAACUAGAAUAUGUAGUGUAGCGGUGAAAAUGCUUAGAUAUUACAUGGAAUACCAAUUGCGAAGGCAGGUUACUACUAAGUGAUUGACGCUGAUGGACGAAAGCGUGGGGAGCGAACAGGAUUAGAUACCCUGGUAGUCCACGCCGUAAAACGAUGGAUACUAGCUGUUCGGCGCAAAGUUGAGUGGCUAAAGCGAAAAGUGAUAAGUAUCCCCACCUGGGGAGUACGCACGCAAGUGUGAAACUCAAAUGAAUUGACGGGGUCAUAGCUGUUUCCUG
rnacentral:rRNA from 1 species